UGGCUCAUAAGUAAUUCAAAUAUAUAGAUUUGCAAUAAACAUCAGAAGAGAGUACGUCUUGUGUACUUGCACAUACUUAUACAACAAUAUUCUAAAUGUGUAAACAAUUGUUCGAAAAGCACUCUUACAAUAGUUCAAUAUAUUCUAGCAAAGAAUAUAUUUCACAAAAUCAAACAUAAUGUAUUCAAACUUUUACAAUGGUUCAAAAAUACUUCAUCAGCCACUUCAAUGAGCUCAAAUUGACUUGUCGAGACCCUUCAAAUUUGAUCACCUCCAUUUCCCUACACAUUUAGAAUUUUACGACAAAAUCAGAUUGCAACAAUUAUAGAAGAGGCAAAGAGUUCCACAUUCCACAUUGCACAACAGUUCUGGAUUUUAAAUUUUACGGAAAGAUGUGGUCCAAUUUGUGAAGCUGCACUAUUUUUCCAACAACACCCUCAUAAUCACACAGUUAUAAAAAAACAGAGGAGCUGUUAAUAUUGUUAUUGCAUUUAAUGGGUGGUAAUUUCCUUGUAUUUCAACUCUGCUUUGACAGGUAUGCUCACACUCAACAUUAGCAUCUUAUUUCCACUCUCCUAUUUUCUAUUCCCCUAUCCUAGUUUUUAAAAGUUUUAGUCAUUCCUAGUUGAAUUUACCUAAAGCAUAUCAUGCACAGAUGCCGUAUGCCUCCUUUGCUAAUUUGUCUAAGAUAUAAACUUGAAUUUUCUUGAUGAUGGCCUAAUAGAUCUUAAUGUUAUGAGAGAACAGAUGAUACUAAGACCAAAGUUUCAGGGAAUGCAUAUCCAUUAACUUACCAGAAAUCUAGAAGUUACAACUUACAAAAACCUUUCUAGGUUUUUUUAUUAUUUCCUUCUGGAAAAUAAUGCUUUGGAAGGGACACAAAAUGAGUCAGCUGCUUGUUGAGUUGAUUUGAAAAAGACAUCAAAAGUAGAUGUUUAGCUAUAUGAAUUCUAGAUGUUAAAGAUAAGCAUGGAACCUUAUAAAACAACAACUAUACAUCAAUUCAAAACUAGUUGCUUUAGCUAUAUGAAUCCUCAAUAUUCAUUUUCAUUUCAAAACCUGAUGGAUUUCCAGAUUCCAGAUUUCCAGAUUUUUAGAUUUCAGAUUCCAGAUUUCCAGUGUGCAACUUUAACAGAAAAAGUGUGUAACUUUAACAGAAAACUGUCAAUCAAACUGCACCUCCGGAUCUUGUCCGGACCAUUCUUGCGACUAAAAUUCACUACCAGCCCAUGGUUUAUAAUCAACCAAUCUAGAAACCCAACGCAAAUGUAGAAUUCACAUGCUCAUCUACUUGGGAUCAUAUUACAGAGAAAAGAAACAAGCUCACAAUUUUGGUCCACAACGUUUCAAGUGUUUCUGCUGCUAUAAAUCAGUAAAACACACCAUUGAUCACAAUUUUUUGGCAGGGCACUUUGCUAGAAAUAUCUAAAAUAUUUAUGUUGAUUCUCUAGUGAUUGACAGUGAUUAUAAACGGAUGGUGCCAUAACUACACAUACAAAUCAGCAACCAAAUCUACUAUUUCUACUCAUAAUAACUAUAAUGAUCUUGUUGUGCAAGAUCAAACUAACAGCCAACAAGAACAACUAGACAAAGUUGAGGAAAAUACAGUUGAGAGGUUCCAGAGGACAGAAAGUGAGAGAAAAGCCUUAAGGAACCAAGAAAAUACCUUUUGAAGAACCAAAUCAUGAGUUGACCCUGAAGAAUGUGGAAUAUUUUUUGCUCUUACAGUUUGUGCGCUACUUGCAUCAACAGGUGAAAUAUUAUUGUGGCUGUAGACCUAAAAUGGUGUAGUGUACAAUUCUGAAAAGCUGCUAAUGAAUCAACAAGAAGGCAAAGACACCUUAAAGCUAUAAACUUUGAGUGGAAAAGAGAACCAAUAAAUUUCUAUCCAGAAUCACAUUUUUGAAAUUUGUAAUCCUUAUUUCAUUAACCAACCAAAUAGAGCAAACCUCAUACUCAAGCUGGAAAUUUUUAGUUUUCUAAUAUUGGCGUAGCAAAGAAAAAUGACAGCCAUUUCGAGAUUAACCUGAUUUAAAACAAACUUAAAACGAUGAACAUAUUAAUUUUCUCCUGAGGAGGUUUCAUCAAUUGCAAAAUAUCAGAUAAAUAAGUUGUUAACCCAACUUGUUUGAGUUUACAGGGUACAAGUAUUAACCGCUAAUUUGUAUUUUCUGCAAGAAAGCAACAGAAAAUAGAGUUGGCAGAAAUCCAUUAAGGAUUGAAGGAUGUGUGGUCAGAAAUAAUACAAAAGCAUUAACUGAACAAAGGAACAAACCUUGAGAUAAAAAUAUCAGAGUUAAGCAUAGAGGAAUCACUGUGAAGAAGACAGGGACAAUAUGAUGGUUUCCAUCUGAGAAGCACUCUGACUACCAGGAUUAUUAUUUGAAUUCAUCAUAAAGCCACCAUUUGCCUGUGGAAUACAAAAGAAAAAACAAAAAUCAUAGAGAGAUAAUAAUAAUGCAAUGAAAGGGCAGGUUGGUGCACUAAGCUUCUGCUAUGCACGGUGAAGGGUUGGAUCAUAUGUGGGAAUAAUUUACCAGUAAUGCAUAAUUUACAUAUGGUAUUGGAAAGUUGCUGCCUAUUACCUUUAGAUGCUGAAAAUUUAAAUCAAAUUCAUGCUAGCAGGUCUUUGUUUUUCACUUUGUGUUAACAAAAUUAACCAAAAAAAGUAACUAAGCGAGUUGCGGUGAAAAUACCGCUUUGAAGAAGAUAAUGUUGCUUCUCCACAAUUAGACAUCAGAAGCUGAGUCUGUAGACAGUAAUGAAGUACCAAUAUUCUCAUUACAACAUUUUCUUUCGACUUGUUACAUAAUGCAAGGUUGUUUCCACUAUUUUCUUUCUGUUAACUCUCCAAAUUCAUCAUAGAGGAAAUCGCUCCAAAAUCAAAAUGGUGAAACUCUGGCAUAAGAAUGCAAAGUAAGGAUAGA
rnacentral:lncRNA from 1 species